CUUUGGAGGAGCCAGUGAACUUUGUGGACAGUUGGAGUUGAGGGCUAGGGAGAGGAGGUCGAGGAGAAAUUCAUCAGGGAGAAAGAGUAGGCCUCUUGUGAAACAGAGCAUUGAGAUGAGGCGUGAAACCAUUAUCCGCAGCCUUAUACUGUACCUUGGCGAGAAGGAAGAGAAACUUUUUGAAGACUGCUUGGAGGACAGCCGGAGUGAUGUCAGUAACCACAUCCUCAAAAUACUCGUCGUCCACGGUGCUGAUGAGGAUCCAGUCGAUGUCUCCAUCCUUACUAGUGGGUUGCCUGUCAUAAAUGUUUUUCAUUUUUUGUCAAAUAAGGUAUCUGUUAAUGACAGUAAAGAUUGUAUUCUUCAACAAGAAUGUUUAGACACCUUAAGCUGUUUAUUUUUAGUUGAUUCUGUUGAUUUUAUUUCAUUAAUGUUUUAAUUGCAUACUUAAAAGUGCACUAGUCAGAGGACUGGUUUAAAUGUUGAAAUUGCACUUUUUCAGUGUGUAGGUUUGUAAGAUUUUAAUUGCAUAUUUGAGAAGUGACUAUGUUACCAGAUCUAUGUUGGAUUUGGUGUAUAAUGUGUAAUACUGUGUAUUUGUUGUUUACCAGUCAUACCAACCUUUGGAUAUUUUCUUUAAAAAAUAUACUAUUACUACUAUUUACUUUGAAUACCUUUUGCUGGAGAUACAUCUUUAAUUUACUGUUAGUACAAAUUCUAAUGCAGUACAAUACAAUGCACUUUUACUAUUAACGCAGUACUUGUACAGUACAUUCUGUUUUUCCCCUCAUUUAAAUAGGGGUAUACAUAAUCCAUACACCACUGCUCAAAGUUUAAGAGGCGGUUUCUGUCCUGACCCUCUCCCAGAAGUUGUUGUUGAGUAUUAUAUUUCUGCAAUGAAUGUAGAAACUCUGUUUCAGAGGGUUGUAAGAUUGAAUUAAAAA